rnacentral:rRNA from 1 species
CGGCGGAGCAUGCGGAUUAAUUCGAUGCAACGCGAAGAACCUUACCAAGGCUUGACAUACACCGGAAACAUCCAGAGAUGGGUGCCCCGCAAGGUCGGUGUACAGGUGGUGCAUGGUUGUCGUCAGCUCGUGUCGUGAGAUGUUGGGUUAAGUCCCGCAACGAGCGCAACCCUUGUCCUGUGUUGCCAGCGGGUUAUGCCGGGGACUCAUGGGAGACUGCCGGGGUCAACUCGGAGGAAGGUGGGGAUGACGUCAAAUCAUCAUGCCCCUUAUGUCUUGGGCUUCACGCAUGCUACAAUGGCCGGUACAAAGGGUUGCGAUGCCGCGAGGUGGAGCGAAUCCCAAAAAGCCGGUCUCAGUUCGGAUUGGGGUCUGCAACUCGACCCCAUGAAGUCGGAGUCGCUAGUAAUCGCAGAUCAGCAACGCUGCGGUGAAUACGUUCUCGGGCCUU